rnacentral:rRNA from 1 species
CCCUUAGAUGUUCUGGGCCGCACGCGCGCUACACUGACGAAUGCAACGAGCUUAUAACCUUGGCCGAAAGGUCUGGGUAAUCUCCAAAUUUCGUCGUGAUGGGGAUAGAUUAUUGCAAUUAUUAAUCUUCAACGAGGAAUGCCUAGUAAGCGCAAGUCAUCAGCUUGCGUUGAUUACGUCCCUGCCCUUUGUACACACCGCCCGUCACUCCUACCGAUUGAAUGGUCCGGUGAAGCGCUCGGACCGCGGCCUCUUGACGGUUUUCCGUCGAUUGGCUGUGGGAAGUUCGUUAAACCUUAUCAUUUAGAGGAAGGAGAAGUCGUAACA